GUGCCAGCCGCCGCGGUAAUACGGAGGGUGCAAGCGUUAAUCGGAAUUACUGGGCGUAAAGCGCACGCAGGCGGUCUGACAAGUCGGAUGUGAAAUCCCCGGGCUCAACCCGGGAACUGCAUUCGAAACUGUCAGGCUGGAGUCUUGUAGAGGGGGUAGAAUUCCAGGGUGUAGCGGUGAAAUGCGUAGAGAUCUGGAGGAAUACCGGUGGCGAAGGCGGCCCCCCUGGACAAAGACUGACGCUCAGGUGCGAAAGCGUGGGGAGCAAACAGGAUUAGAUACCCUGGUAGUCCACGCUGUAAACGAUGUCGACUUGGAGGUUGUGCCCUUGAGGCGUGGCUUCCGGAGCUAACGCGUUAAGUCGACCGCCUGGGGAGUACGGCCGCAAGGUUAAAACUCAAAUGAAUUGACGGGGGCCCGCGACCAAGCGGUGGGCAUGUGGUUUAAUUCGAUGCAACGCGAAGAACCUUACCUGGUCUUGACAUCCACAGAAGUUUCAGUAGAUGAGAACGUGCCUUCGGGAACUGUGAGACAGGUGC
rnacentral:rRNA from 1 species